CCUACGGGUGGCAGCAGUGGGGAAUAUUGCACAAUGGGGGAAACCCUGAUGCAGCGACGCCGCGUGAGUGAAGAAGUAUUUCGGUACGUAAAGCUCUAUCAGCAGGGAAGAAGAUGACGGUACCUGACUAAGAAGCCCCGGCUAACUACGUGCCAGCAGCCGCGGUAAUACGUAGGGGGCAAGCGUUAUCCGGAUUUACUGGGUGUAAAGGGAGCGUAGACGGCAGGGCAAGUCUGGAGUGAAAGCCCGGGGCCCAACCCCGGGACUGCUUUGGAAACUGCCAUGCUAGAGGGCUGGAGAGGUAAGCGGAAUUCCUAGUGUAGCGGUGAAAUGCGUAGAUAUUAGGAGGAACACCAGUGGCGAAGGCGGCUUACUGGACAGUAACUGACGUUGAGGCUCGAAAGCGUGGGGAGCAAACAGGAUUAGAUACCCCUGUAGUC
rnacentral:rRNA from 1 species